rnacentral:rRNA from 1 species
AACGUAGGUGGCGAGCGUUUAUCCGGAUUUACUGGGCGUAAAGGGUGUGCAGGCUGCCCCUCAAGCGGUGUAUGAAAGGGCUCGGCUCAACCGGGCUAGGUUAUGCCAGACUGAGGGGCUAGAGAGCGAGAGCGGGACGUGGAAUUCCGGGUGUAGUGGUGAAAUGCGUAGAGAUCCGGAGGAACACCAGUGGCGAAGGCGGCGACCUGGGCCAAUACUGACGCUGAGGUGCGAAAGCGUGGGGAGCAAACAGG